AGUGAGACCAAAAAGCAUUAAAUUGAAAAAUACGUCAUACACUGUUUAAGGACAAUAUAAAUGCACAGCAGCUUGGGAUACAAUGAUAUAUGAUCACAGCAUGAAGGUCAUUUUUAUUGCAUUCUUACUUUUGGCUUCCAUGGCCUCCCUACUCUCUCCAACUACUCUAGCAGUUCCAGAGGUUCAACUCAUCAAAGGUGAAAGUGAUGAGAGAGGAUAUAGAGGAACAAAAGAAGCACAUGUUGGAAGUGAUCCGCAAAGAUAUAUAAAAACUCGACCUCCACCUCCACCUCGUCGUCCUCCUUCUCAUCUCUAAAUAGAGAGUAGUAUGUAAUGCUUAUAUUAUUAUGUGUGUUACUAGCUAGGAGUAAUAAUGCUAGCUAUAUCAUCCAUCACAAUUUCCAUCUAUGUUUUUGUGUUACUUUUCAGUUUGUAAUGGUGUUUGUGAAAUAAAUUAAAGCAUAUAUGAGCUUUCAUUUUCAGGGGAAUAAUAAAAGUGAUGGUUUUUAA